AAUUGUAUUGGCUGUUUCUGUUGGGCUGGUAUGCACUCAGGCGUCUCAUCAUAAGUGUUGUAGUUUUCUACUUCUUUGAUCAAAUUCUGGAAAGUAAUGAAGGUGAGUAGCAUUAAGCCCAGAACUACUAAAAGUGCAAAAUACGUAUUUUCAGUUAUUUCUGUGUUCCUACUUGUUCCUACUUAUGUUAUGAUUUUUGGAUCAUUUGUCAAUGAGGAAAUGAGAAUGGCCUCUUGUAAUGUUAUAUCCCUGUUAUCUCCAGAGCGGGCUGGAUUGCUGUCUGUGACUGCGCUGCUCCAACUCCUGGCUCUGGCUGGAAUAUUUGACCAUGUGUAUAAGCCCUCUUUAGCUGAAACACCUAAGACUAUUCUCUACAUGUAUGGAGCUUUUGGUGUAGUCGCAGCUAAUGCUAUUACCCUGGCAACAGAACUAAUGCUGAAAUUACGAAAAGGACAACGGACUUUGACAGAUCUCCGUGUCAUAGUUCUGCCAUUUGAAUGUGUUUUCGUUUUAAGCUGGAUAGCUCUAUGGACCCAUGCUUACUGUGAGUAUAAUUCAAAAAUUCACCUGUCAUAACUAUGAUAUAAAGGGUUUUGUGGAUGACAUAUUAAAUAACUGUUUAUAUUAUAAAAUAUAGGGACAGAAAGUCAGAACAGGUAUGUACCUUUUUCUGAUUUAUCUUGGUUGAUGCUAAUGCUUCUGUCAUUGAACUGGGAAUUCAUUUGUGUUGAAAAUUACAAGAUAAAUGAAUGGUUGUCUCUCAGGCAUGUGUCAUUACCCUCAUUUUUAUUACUGUUAUGAUUAAUUUCCCUAGAAUUAAGCAAGAAGUGGCGAUAUUACGGAGAUAUGGUCGUAGACGUUGGCUAAAGGUUUGUCAUACAGAAUUUUUCUUUUUCAUCUAUGUUCAUUUGUGUUUCUGGGUAACAUUAUGUUUCAUGCAUGUGUAUCAGGUUUAUCAAGAUAAGCAUCAACUGCUUUCGUGAAAUACUGACACUACUGAGUUGGAAAAUGAAAGAUAAUGAAAUUUCAUGUCAAUGAGCACUAAAC
rnacentral:lncRNA from 1 species